UUGAUUGAUUGUUAUUCAAUACUCCGACGCAAAGACGCAGUGUGUUGGGUUGGACCUCUGGGGGACUCCCGGCGCGACGUCCGGGUCGCCCCCCGAGGCAACAGAUAUGAAUCGACAAAGGGUUGGGAGGUUGGGCGCGAGGGCCCGCACUCGGUAAUGAUCCCUCCGCAGGUUCACCUACGGAGA
rnacentral:misc_RNA from 1 species